CAAAGUGCUGGGAUUACAGGCAUGAGCCACUGCUCCCAGCCUGGCUGAGAAGCAAUUCUAAGCCACCACACAGAGUUGCAAAACCAUAAAACAAUUAGCAAUAACUCUGCCAUCAAACAGUUAAUUACCAGGGAGUGUAAAUAUGUGCUCAAGGCUCCAACUUACAGACUAAUAGGAGUUUUGAAGCUUGCCGUUUUUUGAAGGCUUAUACAAAAUAGUUUCCUGCAAACUCAAGUGGCUGGGAAGCCCAGCUGAAGGUUACUUCUACCCCAAGGCCAUGUCAGCAGAAAGUGGCCAACAGGACUUGGGCCUGAAAAAGCUCAGACUGAAUUUUAGGAGUGACAUCUGAAACUGCUGGUUUCUCACAAGGAAUAAAAGCUGUCUGGGAAGCUGGAGAGGCAGUGUGCUGUCUGGAGCAGGGACUUGCAAAUGGGAACAGUGAAGAGAGACAGCAUCUCCUUCCUCUGAAGAUUCUGUUCAGAAUGGAUAAAGGUUCAGCAUCCUCCCUGGAUGGGGCAGCUUAGCAGAUUAAGACAACUGAGGUUAAGGGCCUGACUCCAGAUCACACAGCAAGGGAGAUGGCAAAAUCAAGAUUUCAACCCAGGAAACCUGCCUCCCAUGCCUAUGUUAAUCACUACACCCUUCCCACAAUAAAUAAUCAAAUAAGCUAUUA
rnacentral:lncRNA from 1 species